UCUUUAAAAGUUUUCAUUUAGUCCCUUGCUACUUAUUAAUAUGACUUCAAAUUCUCUUGAAAAAUUCAUCUUUGAAAAAGAUGAAUUCAUGAUGUGAUCGCUGGAAAUACCAAAUCUGUUUUUCUUUUUUUAGUUGAACAUGAAAUGUUGAAGUUCUGCUGUCUGUAGAAAAUAUGUUUUCUACCUUUGUGUGUAUAUAUAUAUAUAUGUGUAUGCACUUUUUGUGUAAUUAUAUUCUUUUGAUUCAUACUGAAGUUUCUAUAUUUUAAGAAAUGUGUUGUAAUUAAGAGAGUGGGCGCAUGCUGGACGAGUGCAUGGGAGUAAAGUGAACCAUUGCGCGCAGGAUCCACAUUGCAGUCCAUUACAGUCAUAUAAAGUAAGAGGCAAGAAAAUAAACUGGGAUAAAGUGACUGUCAGCAAUCACAGUGCAGAGCAAUGCCGAAGAAUGUGGCAAGAAUUGGAAAAGCAGGUUCGUAAGCAUAGAACACUUCCAGAACUUUUAUCUGAUGCUCAGACUGUUUCACCUAAAGUAAAAAGGAAAAGAGAACGCUUUAAGACAACGGACAGAACUAAAAGCUUUGGCCAUGAAGACGACAGCCUACCAGCUACGUCAUUCGAGACAAGCAAAAUCUUAAAUUCCUUUGACGUCACGCCAUGAUGCAAUAUUGUGAAUUGUGUCACAUCAAUCACGUGAGAGUGUACCUAACGUGUUCGGCCACAUUUAAGUGUGUAAGGAACCAUUCCAGUAAGUUAAAUCGCCAGCCAUUACAACCAAGCUGAGGUUUUACGGAGAGAUAGUGAAGAAAAACAGUAAGUAGAGGUGAAUAUGUGUGGAUGUACGAGUGAAUGAAACCACUCUAAGACAUUUUAAGAUGUAGAUUACACAGUGUCAAUAACAGUAAAUAAUUUCUGAGAAAUAAAUUUGAUUUGAUUUAAAAGUUUGAUAUAUUUGAAAGUGUUUUAUAUGUUGAUAAUUUCUUCUUAAUAUUUAAUGGAUGAUAGGUGAAUAUGUAGUCACAACCAUCGUGUCGGAAAUUUUAUGUUUGAUACUGUUUGCAAAUCACUUUAUCUGAUACCUGAUUACAAGCGCGUUUAAAGCUGUAUUUUAAUUUUAAAACUUUAUUUGCUCACCGUUUUAUGUUUUGUUCAUUUAAUCUGAAUUUCAAGAUGGCAACGACAUCAGGUACUCAAGAGCCUCAGGAGGCCGGAAUAACUCCUGAAAAGGUCCGGCCAACGGUUAAGACAUUUAAUGUUUAUGAAAUUAAUUAGCGAUGAGAUGUAGAUGACACAAAAUAAAAGAACGCUACUCCCUCAGCGUCAACCUCCUCCUACGGUUAACAGACGGGCUGGCGGGAUGACUGAUUGGACCAGCAGGUUAAUCCAAUGAAUUACUUCACGCAGUUCGUGAAGUUAAGGUGAUUAAAGCCGUAUCGGCGAAGAUGUUAUAUUCCGAUUGAAUUAAUUACUACACCACACUCGGAAUACACAUGUUAAUACUCCACUGGAAAAAACGUUGGAUAUCCGUUGAAGGCAGUUAACCCACACACAGUUCACUCCCCACGGAGCUCUGUACUCUCCAACUGCUUGGUCUCGACUGUCUCGAGAAACGUUAGAACCACCCAGUUAACUCAUCCUUUUUCUCCUCCUGACCAAUCAGGCCCCCCUAGCGACCAGGUAACUAGGACGACCUCCUAACAGUCUUUCUUGGAGACCUCUCCAGAGUCGCCCUUCGAUGGACUCCAGACGGCCGAAGAAAACGAGGCCGCCCAAAGGAAACUUGGAGGAGAACAACUGAAAGGGAGAUGAAAUUAAAGGGCUGGACAUGGUGUCACCUAGAGCGGGUUUCAGCCGAUCGACAUCGGUGGCGGACUCUGGUCGAGGCCUUAUGUGCAACCUGAUGCACGAAGAGGACAAGAAGAAGUCUAAGAUAGGCUCCAGUAAUUUUUUUGUUAGGGGAUGUGGGGUUAAUUUUCAAGCAUAACAAGCCAUCGGAAAAUUUCAUUUAAUCUGUACCUCUUUAUUUCCAGUCUGUGAGAGCCCAAGCUAUGACACACUUUAUGACAUUUGCUUUUGGGAGUGACUUCAAAAUAACACGUGUAUCAGGUGAGAAAUUUAAUGCUUAUGAUUUGCAGUGAUCUUCGCUUUGGUACUUUAAAUCAGAAAUAAAUUAUUAUGACAGAAUUCUGAAGCCACAAGUUUUAAUCUUACAGUCAUUAAUGUUCAAGAUUUAUUAGUCAUUGCUCUCUUUAUAUCUGUAUAUAUAUAUAUAUAAAAUUUUUGCUUUGAAUUUCUAGAAUUUUGCUUAUGUUGGUAUGAAAUGAAGUGAUUAAGCCAGUGUUAGGUUAUUAGUUUAUUCCUUGUCGCUCCAUUGAGGAGCAUUAUAGGGUCACAAAGCCAAAGUUGGUGAUGUCAACAUCUUUAGCAAAAUCUGCUAAACGUGGCAAAACCAAAGAAUUUCAUUUAUAUUAUACUCAGAAAUGGUUAUUAUAUAACCACGGACGUAUAUAGUUCUUGAUAUAACGAACGGCCCUCAGCGUGCGACAGAAAGCAUCUCCACACAGUUUUCAGUAAGUUUUUCACAAGGGAGGUAACGCCAACACACUUCCUAAGUAACUGGGUUAAGAAAGCGUGGUUAAGUGUGCACUGAUGGUCCAAGAACAGGAGAUGGAAUCUACCUUUUAUACCGCGAAACUUCAAAAUUGAAGGUGUGGCAGUAGCCAACUUGCGACGAAGCUAGUCGCAUCGCAGGGUGCACGGAGAAAAAGUCCGAGUUAGAAAUCUUCCCUGUCUUAUCGCUGCAACCCACUGUGGUCCUCUCCCCUACCAUUAUGUGCAUCCUCCAUUGAUCCUCUUUACAGUCAUAUAAAGUAAGAGGCAAGAAAAUAAACUGGGAUAAAGUGACUGUCAGCAAUCACAGUGCAGAGCAAUGCUAAGAAUGUGGCAAGAAUUGGAAAAGCAGGUAUGGUGCGUGUUUUAGAGAUUUUUUCUGUUUUUCCAGUGUAAAGGUUACAGAGAUUACUACUAUCUUAUAGAGUGUGGUGAUGCAUAUGUGUUCGCACACUCUGCAUAUGUGUGUGUGAGUUUUGUGAUCAGCCAGCAAGGCCACUGACACCACAAAGACGUGUUAUAAAGGAACAGAGACAAAAAGUGAAAGCAAGAAAUCCUGGAAUAAAAGCGCCAGAGAUUAACAGACUGUUGUCUGAGAAGAAGCAAAGUCUGUCACCCAGGAAACGGGUAAAUUAAAAAAUUUUCUGCUCUAAAUUCUUUAAAAGUUUUC
rnacentral:lncRNA from 1 species